CCUACGGGAGGCAGCAGUGGGGAAUAUUGGGCAAUGGGCGCAAGCCUGACCCAGCAACGCCGCGUGAAGGAAGAAGGCUUUCGGGUUGUAAACUUCUUUUCUCAGGGACGAAGAAAGUGACGGUACCUGAGGAAUAAGCCACGGCGAACUACGUGCCAGCAGCCGCGGUAAUACGUAGGUGGCAAGCGUUAUCCGGAUUUAUUGGGUGUAAAGGGCGUGUAGGCGGGAGCGCAAGUCAGAUGUUAAAACUCAGGGCUCAACCCUGAGCCUGCAUUUGAAACUGUGUUUCUUGAGUGCUGGGGAGGCAAUCGGAAUUCCGUGUGUAGCGGUGAAAUGCGUAGAUAUAAGGAGGAACACCAGUGGCGAAGGCGGAUUGCUGGACAGUAACUGACGCUGAGGCGCGAAAGCGUGGGGAGCAAACAGGAUUAGAUACCCUAGUAGUC
rnacentral:rRNA from 1 species